UACGUAGGGGGCAAGCGUUGUCCGGAUUUAUUGGGCGUAAAGAGCGUGUAGGCGGUUUGGUAGGUCCGCUGUGAAAACUCGAGGCUCAACCUCGAGACGCCGGUGGAAACCAUCAGGCUAGAGUCCGGAAGAGGAGAGUGGAAUUCCUGGUGUAGCGGUGAAAUGCGUAGAUAUCGGGAGGAACACCUGUGGCGAAGGCGGCCCCCUGGUUGGAUACUGACGCUGAUACGCGAAAGCGUGGGGAGCAAACAGG
rnacentral:rRNA from 1 species